AUUACAAAAAAACAUACCUAAUAUCCAUAAAUCCCCACAUUGCAGGCAACCUGCUAACUCCAAUGUACCAAGCACUGGAAGUUCAUAACAAAACGUAGUUUGAAACACAGAAUGCCUAACAAUGGGGUGGAAAACUUCAUCUGCAGGUCAUCCAAUGGAGAUAUGCUGGUGAUGUCGUCGGAUUAGGGUCAGGCCUUGUGGGUUCGAGUAACCACCACAAUCAACAGGACCACAACGGAGAGCAUGAACGAUUUUUUCAGCCUGUCCUCAAAGCGAUUGCUGGGUUCUGCUUUCGCGUUUUCCCUGCUUGGAGGUUGAAAUAAGUCGCCGAUGAUCUUUGUAAUUUUCUCGACUGCUUCCAUGACUUUUGCCAUGGUAUUUUGAAAGAUCCACUUGACAAUGUUUGUUGCUUUAUCGUUAUCAUCAGAAUUCUCAUCUGGACUCUCGGAUUUAUUGUCUUCAUCUGCGUAUAUGAUGAAAAAAUCACAUCGAAACUAGCAUUAGUCACGAGCACAUUCCUUCAACCUUCGAGCAUUGACAAGGUAUUUCACUAGCAACUAUUACAUACUUUUCAGCUGCUUAGUAUAUUGCUCUCUUUUGGAUUUUCUAGUACAUUGCUCUAACUUAUAAUUUCAUCUAACUAAACCCAGCAAGAAAACACGUAAAAGAGGCAUCAACAUCGAACAAAAAAAGCUCGUGAAUACAGUACGAUAUUUCUCAAAUCUUGAUUCAAUGCUAGAGUAUCUUCCUUAUAAAUUCAAUGAACUGUAGUCUAUAGAAUAUAGUCCUUGCUUAUAUCCAAAUCAUACCAACCUGCAUAGAAAGAUUCCCGGAGCUCCCGCACCACCUCGUUGUUCAUCACCGCAUCCCAAACUGCUCUAUCAGAUGACAAUGAGAUCACCAUUCUCUGCACAACAAAAAACCCUUAAGACAUAAUUAUCAAAAGUUCAUAUGAGAUUAGACAAUACAAAGCAGAUGCUAUUAUAUUUCAUCCUCUGCAAUACAGAAAUUAAAAAAAGAACACCUUUCUGGAGUAAUUUGCAAAUUAAAUUUUUUUUAACAGAAUCAAUGGUCUGAAAUUCAAAAUAAAAUUCAGAAAAAAUAUAUGAAAAAAAAGACUUGUUCUGGUAAAACUAAAAUGGUCAACAAAGAAAGGGACCUGCACAGAAGACUCGGUCUGCAAGAGAUGGAAAGCAUCAUAAACUCUUUCAGACCCAUAAGACUGCAACAUCCUUGAACUAUUAGAAAGAUAGGCAGAAGGCUCCAUCCAAUCUAAUUCUGACCCAGCUGAAGAUGCUGGGUGCACAAACCCAGCAGAAGCACUUGUAAUUUGAUCAUCCACAGCUCUGUCUGACUCAGAACCAAACUUAUCCCUGAUGAAGGGACUGAUAACCCUACCAAUCACAAAACCCCAUUUCAUCAAACAAGGCGUGAUUAGUAUAAAAUUCAACAAGGCAGGCGUUAAUCUUUGUUUUUAUUCGACAAGAUGAUAAAACUAAUCUAAUUUGUGGGGUGCGAGAUUCAAACUCGAAUGCAAUAGGUCAUGCACAGCUGCCCUCACCAACGAAACCGACCCACAUCUGCCGGUGGAAAAAAUAUUUUUAUGAUAAAAUGAUAAACUAAUCUAAUUUACACGCAGGAGAAUUCAAAUAAGUACAACUGGGCAUGAAAAUUGUCUUGACCAACUGAUCUAAUUUACAUAUGCGGGCUCUAAAACACACAAAGGGUUUUUGUUAUCAGAGACAAAAGAGUAUUGAGUUGCUUACUGUUGAAGGGCAGAGACAGCACUGUGAACUUCAUCCUUGGAAGGAACAGGUCCAAGAACAAAAUCAUCAAGAAACCCAUGUGAAACUCUCUCAUCAUCCUCACUGCUAACGCCAUUAUCCACAGUCACCCAAUCAAAAUCAUCAAGGCGAGGGGAAGAAGGCCAGCCGGGCGUGGCACAAUUGGAAGCCAGAGGAUUAUUGCACGAGGCAAAAGGUGAGGUGGGUGAGGAGAGAGAGAGGUUGUGGGAAGAACUGGGCUUCUGGGUGUGCCUAGAAGUGGAAGUGGUGGUGGUGGUAUUCGCAGUAGCAGGAGAACUGGAAGAAGAAGAAGGGGUUCUUGAAUUGGUGGGCCACCAGUAACAGUUCUGGUGACUGCUGCCCUACUCACAGUCCUAAACACGCUUCCUCCUCCACCACCUCCGCCCAUGCUUCUUCCACCAAACAUCAUUGAAAUUCUUUAUGGUUUUUUUUUAUGUCAUCUGCCCGGCACAGAAUAGUUUUUCAUUAGAUUUCAUCUCCCACGAAUACGAGCUAGAUUCAAGUACCAUGAAUGAGAACAUAAUGUUCAUUUUUGUGCUUACGAUACGCAGGUUGCACCUGGUUCAGAUAGCAAGUUUGAUCAAGAUGUUGCUGUAGCCAACACUGUAGAGAAGAAAUGCACCGUUCUCGGAGAGCUACGCCAGCGAGCUGUUGUAAUUCCUGAUGUGGAUUCCCUCCUAAAUGUGAUUAACAGGAAUUGAAUGCGGAUGUCACAAAAAUUAUGUGCAUUUUGAGGUGUAAUGGGGGAAUUAUGCACAUGAGAAAGCUGGAAAUGGUAGAUAUGUAGAGGAAAAUCUUGAGGAGUAAAUAUGUUGCUAGAAUUACUGAAGCCUGAAGGUGCUAAGUGUAUGGAAAUGUAAGCGGUUGUAGGUGAAAAUUAGUAGGUCAGACAGAAAAAUUCAUCUGGUUAAACGGUUUUGCUGACUCCAUGUGGUUAAACAGUUAAUGUUUGAAGUUUUUUCAGGUGAAUCCAUCUCUUUCAGGAUAACUGUUUUUCUUUUUACUGAGUCCAUGUGGUUAAACAGUUUUAUUGUUUGCAUGGAAAGGUAUAGUGUAGAUCACUAUAUUCUAAAACGCGACCCCAAAUCAAUAAGGUUCUCUACUUUGCAAGGGUCAGGAGAGAACGUCUAUUGUACGCAGGUUUAUCAGAGGUUGUUUCCACAACUUGAACUUAUAACCUUUUGAUCACAAAAGAACAACCUUUUGUUUUGUGUCAAGGCUCGCCCUCUAACAAAGCUAUAUUUUAAUCUACUUAAAUCUACGGGUAGGGAACUCGAACUCGGAUAAAUCUACCUGUAGGGAAUUCGAACUCGAAUAAAUAGUGAUCAGACGUACUUGGCCUUUCAAGUGCAUCCCAUAAAAAGAAAAUUAACCUCAACUAUUCGGUAAUUACCGUUUCGGUUGCAAUUGUUACCAAAAGAUUCAGGUGGCAAUGCAAAAAUUUAAGAUCUCUGAAAAAAAGGUGAACUGAUAAUAUUACAAAAAAACAUACCUAAUAUCCAUAAAUCCCCACAUUGCAGGCAACCUGCUAACUCCAAUGUACCAAGCACUGGAAGUUCAUAACAAAACGUAGUUUGAAACACAGAAUGCCUAACAAUGGGGUGGAAAAAUUCAUCUGCAGGUCAUCCAAUGGAGAUAUGCUGGUGAUGUCGUCGGAUUAGGGUCAGGCCUUGUGGGUUCGAGUAACCACCACAAUCAACAGGACCACAACGGAGAGCAUGAACGAUUUUUUCAGCCUGUCCUCAAAGCGAUUGCUGGGUUCUGCUUUCGCGUUUUCCCUGCUUGGAGGUUGAAAUAAGUCGCCCAUGAUCUUUGUAAUUUUCUCGACUGCUUCCAUGACUUUUGCCAUGGUGUUUUGAAAGAUCCACUUGACAAUGUUUGUUGCUUUAUCGUUAUCAUCAGAAUUCUCAUCUGGACUCUCGGAUUUAUUGUCUUCAU
rnacentral:lncRNA from 1 species